AUCCAGUUGACGAGUCCUAUAUAGGACGAAACAACCGUCCUGAAU
rnacentral:hammerhead_ribozyme from 1 species